UAGGGAAUCUUCCACAAUGGACGAAAGUCUGAUGGAGCAACGCGCGUGAGUGAAGAAGGUCUUCGGAUCGUAAAACUCUGUUGUUAGAGAAGAACACGAGUGAGAGUAACUGUUCAUUCGAUGACGGUAUCUAACCAGCAAGUCACGGCUAACUACGUGCCAG
rnacentral:rRNA from 1 species